AACGAACGCUGGCGGCAUGCCUAACACAUGCAAGUCGAACGAGACCUUCGGGUCUGGUGGCGCACGGGUGCGUAACGCGUUGGAACCUGCCCUUAGGGUCGGAAUAACUCCCCGAAAGGGGUGCUAAUACCGGGUAAUGUCUUCGGACCAAAGAUUUAUCGCCUUUGGAUGGGCCCGCGUUGGAUUAGCUAGUUGGUAGGGUAAAAGCCUACCAAGGCGACGAUCCAUAGCUGGUCUGAGAGGAUGAUCAGCCACACUGGGACUGAGACACGGCCCAGACUCCUACGGGAGGCAGCAGUGGGGAAUAUUGGACAAUGGGCGAAAGCCUGAUCCAGCAAUGCCGCGUGAGUGAUGAAGGCCUUAGGGUUGUAAAGCUCUUUUACCCGGGAUGAUAAUGACAGUACCGGGAGAAUAAGCUCCGGCUAACUCCGUG
rnacentral:rRNA from 1 species